rnacentral:rRNA from 1 species
GUAGGGAAUCUUCCACAAUGGACGAAAGUCUGAUGGAGCAACGCCGCGUGAGUGAAGAAGGUUCUCGGAUCGUAAAACUCUGUUGUGAGGGAAGAACAAGUACCGGAGUAACUGCCGGUACCUUGACGGUACCUCAUUAGAAAGCCACGGCUAACUACGUGCCAGCAGCCGCGGUAAUACGUAGGUGGCAAGCGUUGUCCGGAAUCAUUGGGCGUAAAGCUCGCGCAGGCGGUCCCUUAAGUCUGAUGUGAAAGCCCACGGCUCAACCGUGGAGGGUCAUUGGAAACUGGGGGACUUGAGUGCAGAAGAGGAAAGCGGAAUUCCAAGUGUAGCGGUGAAAUGCGUAGAGAUUUGGAGGAACACCAGUGGCGAAGGCGGCUUUCUGGUCUGUAACUGACGCUGAGGCGCGAAAGCGUGGGGAGCAAACAGGAUUAGAAACCCUAGUAGUCC